GUGGUCGGUGUACAGGUGGUGCAUGGUUGUCGUCAGCUCGUGUCGUGAGAUGUUGGGUUAAGUCCCGCAACGAGCGCGAACCCUCGUCCUAUGUUGCCAGCGGGUCAUGCCGGGGACUCAUGGGAGACUGCCGGGGUCAACUCGGAGGAAGGUGGGAUGACGUCAAAUCAUCAUGCCCCUUAUGUCUUGGGCUUCACGCAUGCUACAAUGGCCGGUACAAAGGGCUGCGAUACCGCGAGGUGGAGCGAAUCCCAGAAAGCCGGUCUCAGUUCGGAUUGGGUCUGCAACUCGACCCCAUGAAGUCGGAGUCGCUAGUAAUCGCAGAUCAGCAACGCUGCGGUGAAUACGUUCCCGGGCCUU
rnacentral:rRNA from 1 species